GAAUAAGCUCCGGCUAACUCUGUGCCAGCAGCCGCGGUAAUACAGAGGGUGCAAGCGUUAAUCGGAUUUACUGGGCGUAAAGCGCGCGUAGGUGGCCAAUUAAGUCAAAUGUGAAAUCCCGGAGCUUAACUUGGGAAUUGCAUUCGAUACUGGUUGGCUAGAGUAUGGGAGAGGAUGGUAGAAUUCCAGGUGUAGCGGUGAAAUGCGUAGAGAUCUGGAGGAACACCGAUGGCGAAGGCAGCCAUCUGGCCUAAUACUGACGCUGAGGUGCGAAAGCAUGGGGAGCAAACAGGAUUAGAUACCCUGGUAGUCCAUGCCGUAAACGAU
rnacentral:rRNA from 1 species